CAGAAUGAAUAGAUACUUCAGGGUGUAAACACUAAGGAACUAUGUAACUCAAGGAAAUAAAUGUAUGAACUAAAUAAUUUCCUGAGUAACAUAAAGCUAACUUCAACACCAUCCACAAUCGAUGUGCAGGACAAUUUACCUCAUUUUUACUCCCUCAAUUUAAAGAAGGAUAUAGAAAAUACAAGUGAGUUUUUAGGUAUUUAAUUAU
rnacentral:lncRNA from 1 species